AUUGAACGCUGGCCGGCGUGCCUAACACAUGCAAGUCGAGCGAGAAACUUUUGUGAUGAAGCUUCGGUAGAUUCUUUAAAGUGGAAAGCGGCGGACGGGUGAGUAACGCGUAGGCAACCUGCCCUUAGCAGGGGGAUAGCCAUUGGAAACGAUGAUUAAAACCCCAUAAUGCAGAGAGUUCACAUGUAUUUUCUGCCAAAGAUUUAUCGGCUAAGGAUGGGCCUGCGUCUGAUUAGAUAGUUGGUGAGGUAACGGCCCACCAAGUCCACGAUCAGUAGCCGACCUGAGAGGGUGAUCGGCCACAUUGGAACUGAGACACGGUCCAAACUCCUACGGGAGGCAGCAGUGGGGAAUAUUGCACAAUGGGCGAAAGCCUGAUGCAGCAACGCCGCGUGAAGGAUGAAGGUCUUCGGAUCGUAAACUUCUGUCCUUGGGGAAGAAACAAAUGACGGUACCCAUGGAGGAAGCCCCGGCUAACUACGUGCCAGCAGCCGCGGUAAUACGUAGGGGGCAAGCGUUAUCCGGAAUUAUUGGGCGUAAAGAGUGCGUAGGUGGCUACCUAAGCGAGAGGUUUAAGGCUAUGGCUUAACUAUAGUUCGCCUCCCGAACUGGGCAGCUUGAGUGCAGGAGGGGAAAGCGGAAUUCCUAGUGUAGCGGUGAAAUGCUUAGAUAUUAGGAGGACACCAGUGGCGAAGGCGGCUUUCUGGACUGAACUGACACUGAGGCACGAAGCGUGGGGAGCAACAGAUAGAUACCUGUAGUCACGCCGUAACAUGACACUAGGUGUCGGGGCG
rnacentral:rRNA from 1 species